rnacentral:rRNA from 1 species
AUUGAACGCUGGCGGCAGGCCUAACACAUGCAAGUCGAGCGAGCGGCGGACGGGUGAGUAAUGUCUGGGAAACUGCCUGAUGGAGGGGGAUAACUACUGGAAACGGUAGCUAAUACCGCAUACCAUCAGAGGUGCGCAGAUGGGAUUUGCUAGUAGGUGGGGUAACGGCUCACCUAGUCGACGAUCCCUAGCUGGUCUGAGAGGAUGACCCGCCACACUGGAACUGAUACACGGUCCAGACUCCUACGGGAGGCAGCAGUGGGGAAUAUUGCACAAUGGGCGCAAGCCUGAUGCAGCCAUGCCGCGUGUGUGAAGAAGGCCUUCGGGUUGUAAAGCACUUUCAGCGGGGAGGCGUUACCCGCAGAAGAAGCACCGGCUAACUCCGUGCCAGCAGCCGCGGUAAUUC